rnacentral:rRNA from 1 species
AAUGAACGCUGGCGGCAUGCCUAACACAUGCAAGUCGAACGAGACCUUCGGGUCUAGUGGCGCACGGGUGCGUCACGCGUGGGAACCUGCCCUUAGGUUUGGAAUAACUCCCCGUAAGGGGUGCUAAUACCGGGUAAUGUCCUCGGACCAAAGAUUGAUCGCCUUUGGGUGGGCCCGAGUUGGAUUAGCUUGUGGGUAGGGUAAAAGCCUAUCACGGCUUCGCUACAUAGCUGGUCAGAGAGGAUGAGCAGCCACACUGGGACUGUGACACGGCCGAGACUACUGCGCGAGGGGGCAAAGGCGGAUAUAGGACUAUGGGCGGAAGGAUGAACGAGCAAGGCCGCGAGAGUGAUUAAGGUCGUAGGGUAGUAAAGCACUUUAAUCCGGGAUGAUUAUGACGGUACCGAGAGAAUAAGCUCCGGCUAACUUCGUG